UCUUCAUCUGGGUAACCUUUGAUAACUCUGCAGCCAGAAUAGCUGGUGCUUUUCUGUGGAAUACAGAUUAUUGACCAGCUCUUGGUAUGGAACUGCCCAUGGCUUAUGACCUCUUAGUGCAAGUGGAUAUACCAAACCCCUAGCAAGAUUGGUAACAUUUUAUUAAUGCAGUACCUCUAUCAAGAAUAUGAACUGCCUUUUUUUUUUCCCCUCAGGAAGGUUGCAGUGAGUUUAACUGCUCUAAUUGAGACUGCCUGGGAAUAGUGAGACCAUUCCAGUUCAUCUGCUUUUUGCUAGACAAAUGUGUAUGACCCAGAAAUACUGGGUGGAGAAGAGGAAGCAAGUGUUAAAACUUUUUAGUGCUGGAUAGACCAUACAUUUAUCUGCCUGCACCUCUUUUAAACAGGCAUGGGACAGACUGAAUGCAGGGCCUGACCCAGGGAUGCAAUAGGAGGCUAAAUCUGGAGAAACAACCAAGCAACCAAAACAAGUGA